rnacentral:rRNA from 1 species
GACGAACCGUGCGAACGUUGUUCGGAAUCACUGGGCUUAAAGGGCGCGUAGGCGGCCCGCCGCGUCCGGGGUGAAAUCCUCCCGCUCAACGGGAGAACGGCCUCGGAUACGGGCGGGCUGGAGGGGGGUAGGGGCAGGCGGAACUGUGGGUGGAGCGGUGAAAUGCGUUGAGAUCCACAGGAACUCCGGUGGCGAAGGCGGCCUGCUGGACCCCAUCUGACGCUGAGGCGCGAAAGCCAGGGGAGCAAACGGG